AACGAACGCUUGCUGCAUGCUUUAUACAUGCAAGUCGAACGGAGGCCCUAGCUUGCUAGGUGUCCUUAGUGGCGCACGGGUGAGUAACACGUGGGAACAUACCUCAUAGUACGGAAUAACUGCGGGAAACUGUAGCUAAUACCGUAUAUUCCAGCAAUGGGAAAGAUUUAUCGCUAUGAGAUUGGCCCGCGCAAGAUUAGUUUGUUGGUAAGGUAAUGGCUUACCAAGACUACGAUCUUUAGCUGGUUUGAGAGGAUGAUCAGCCACACUGGGACUGAGACACGGCCCAGACUCCUACGGGAGGCAGCAGUAGGGAAUAUUGGACAAUGGGGGAAACCCUGAUCCAGCAAUGCAGCGUGAGUGACGAAGGCCUUAGGGUUGUAAAACUCUUUCAUCGGUGAGGAUAAUGACAGUAGCCGAAGAAGAAGGACCGGCUAAUUCCGUGCCAGCAGCCGCGGUAAUACGGAAGGUCCUAGCGUUGUUCGGAAUUACUGGGCGUAAAGCGCAUGUAGGCGGAACAGAAAGUUAGAAGUGAAAUCCCUGGGCUCAACCUAGGAAUUGCUUUUAAAACUUCUGUUCUGGAAUUCAGGAGAGGAAAAUGGAAUAUCCAGUGUAGAGGUGAAAUUCGUAGAUAUUGGAUGGAACACCAGUGGCGAAGGCGAUUUUCUGGACUGAUAUUGACG
rnacentral:rRNA from 1 species